UUAACUACAAAUUAAAUGUACAACGUACAAACAAUUAAAUGUACAAUAUGUGCAAAAAGUAAAUGUACAUCAUUUCCCUUUCACCCAAUUUUAGUCAAAUAUCCAGAGUUUAUCAAAUAUCAACCAAAUGUCAAAUGUUUGUCAAAUAUCCACCAAAUUAGAUAAUUUGGUGUCCAAAUUUUGGCUGUUUAGUUUUGCACAAGACAAACAAGACUAACAAGUAAGAGAAGAUUGAAAGCCGCCAUUUUAACUUUGUGCAAUCAGUAUUCUUGAGCUUCUUAUACACCCCUCAAAAUAUUAUAAAUGUUGUAAAUAUUUUAGUAUUUAACGACUUGCCUGGAAAGGCCGAUAUACGCACUACACUUUUAUGUUUUAUGUUUUACAUCUAGAAUUCUCCCGGAACAAAACGGACUAUCUAGGUAAUAAUAACCGUGCUUUUUAGCCACACCUCCAAGCUCUGUGGAAGUUCACAGUGAUUUUUCUGGACGUUUAUUUUUUUUCCGAAAAUUGUGAUGACAUAAAUAUUAACUCCCCACUGUUGGGAAACCCUUCAACUAGUUGUGGUGCAAUCACUUGCCAUUAGAAGUCCUAAUUAUUUGAAUGGAGUUCACCUGUGUGCGAUUAAAGUGUCAUGUGAUCUCAGUAUAAAUACACCUGUUCCAGGAAGGCUCCAUUGUUUUGUUUUGUUUUGUUUUGUUAGGGAACAUAUCUAAACAAACAGCAUCACAAAGAACGAGCUAUCAAAACAAGUCCGGGACAAACUUCUGGAAAAGUUCUAAUCUGGAUUUAUCCCAAAACUUUAAACAUCCUGCAGAUCACCAUUAAAUCCAGUGAUAAAAAAAUGGACGCUACCUAGUAGAGGCUGGCCACCAAAAGCCAGUGAGCAGCUAAAGAGGGAGGGGAUUAGUCAGAGACGCGACCGAACCAAUGCAAUCAUAUAAUUAUAUAUUUUUACAUUUUAAAUAAUUUUUCAACCUACAUAUAGCGAUAUUUUCACCUGACUAUUAUGGGCUGUUUGUUGUUGAUUCAUGGCAUAUUCCCACUUAAGUGCAUUUCAGUUCCAGGUUGUCCAUCCAUCCAUCUUCUUUACCGCAUAUCCUUCCUUCAGGGUCACGGGGAAACCUGGAGCCUAUCCCAAGGAAGCAUCGGGCACAAGGCGAGGUACACCCUGGACAGGGUGCCAAUCCGUCGCAGGGCACACUCACAUACACAUUCACACACUACGGAGACUUUAGACACGCCAAUCAGCCUACCAUGCAUGUCUUUAGCCACUUUAAUAGCUGGAUGUAUGACAUGCAUAUAAAGACUCUCUUUUAGCCCUUAUAUUGAUAUUUGUCUAUGUUAAUUAUUGAAAUAUUGUAAACAUGACUCAAAUAAUAAUAUCAUAUAAA
ensembl:lncRNA